rnacentral:rRNA from 1 species
CGCGUAGGCGGCUUUGUAAGUCAAGUGUGAAAUCCCGGGGCUCAACCUCGGAAGUGCACUUGAAACUACAUGGCUUGAGUAUGGGGGAGGGAAGUGGAAUUCCUGGUGUAGAGGUGAAAUUCGUAGAUAUCAGGAGGAACACCGGUGGCGAAGGCGACUUCCUGGACCAAUACUGACGCUGAGGCGCGAAGGCGUGGGGAGCAAACA